rnacentral:lncRNA from 1 species
UUUAAAUAGCUUUGUUGGUGUGUCAAAUAUUAAAUGCAAUUAUUUUUGUUUUUUUAAUUAAAUAAUAUUAAUCCAGCACACUUAAUUACGAAAAAUACCAAGUGUCAUUCACGUUUAACUAAUUUUAAUUAGCCUGUAAUGUCAUGAAUGUCAUUAUCCACACAAAGUCACAUUAGACAGGUAGUAAGCCGGUUGAUGACUUAAAUAAUAAGACACCAUGUCACCGCAAUUGUUCAUUGUACUCACGACACUUAUUAUUAAUUUAUUAUCGACAAAAAAAAAUUUUAAAAAUCAAUUACUGUUUAUACGAACGAAAAAUGAAUAUAGUAUCGUAAAUAAUCGCGAGAAUCACUUGGUACAUGCUCCCAUCCCGUGGCUGCUCGCUCCUCCGUUGGCGGGCUUCGAAUGACGGCGAGCUCUACUGUUUUACCACGCAGCCUUCUGCCGCGCACGUUCCCUUUUUAUCCUUGUUACUCCGGGUAGCAAGCACGGACUGUCAUUGUUCGGUUCUGUUCACCGACGCUGCUGUUCACCCCACAAACACUAACGCACUCAUUUCCGUCUCACUCUGACGGCAGUUCGCGGCAAACUGGCGGGAAAGAGACAGGUUAUGUCUGUGUAGCUGCGCAUGCGCGGAGAAAAUAUCAACCACUUGGUAAAAGCAACCCUCUACCCUCUACUCUGCUUCGGAAAAUAUACACACACAUGUAAAUACACACAAUAUACAUCACGGGAGGCAAACUUGUACACACACGUACUUUGACGGUGGCGCGAUAAAGAAGAUGCACUACUAUACAGUACACUAGUGGCACGAGACGUUGCGAAAACGCUUUGCCACCACUCGAAUGAGGAACCUGAGGUACAGUAUACAUUUAUAGAUAUAUAUAUAUAUAUAUAAGGCUCUAUAGGGUUAGCUAGGUUUAGGUUUAUGUGUAUGUGUAUAUAGAAUUUAUUUUAUAUGUGAAUGAAUAUGUGAGGCCAACAUGUCUAGGUAAAUCUUAGCCAGUCCCGGUUAUUAUUUCAUUAAUGCGUUGCAGUUGGAAAAAAUUGCAUUGUCCCUGCUGUAAGCCAGUGUAAUUUUUUUCACAAUAAUUUAGUUGCAUUUCUGUUAAAAAAAAAAAUGGAGUAAACUGAAUUGAGAAUCAAGUGAAUUGAAUAAACAUAUAAAUAUUAGCGGUGAACGCUAAAAGGAGUGUAAAAAAGGUAUUUAUUUUAAAAAAUGAUAAAAAGGAAUUCGAGACAAUGCGAUAACCAACUAAAAGUUUAUAAGUACGUGAUUUGAAUCUGGUACAAGCGAAGAGACGAUAAGGGACAAGUCUCUGAAAAUGGGCAAUGUAUGGCUAAAGUCGGUCGCCAUGAGCCAUUAACAUACUCUUAUCUAAAAAGACUUGCAAAAGUAUAUAACGCCGAAUAAUAAGAUAGCAGUUACCAACACAGAGAACCAGUCGAGAGUUACUCAGCUCGGCUCUACUCUGUAGUUCCGAGUAAGUAAAAGUAAGGUGGUUAAACACUAAAAAGUAUAAAAAACUACCAUCAGGUUUAUCAGCUUCACAUGUAAUGCUCGUCUCUUUUGAAUUACAUAAAUCAUCCGUAGAGUCCAGCCAGAUCCAGGGUACUGCUGAUGACCACUGGGUAAUGUAUCCAACAAUUAACACAAGUAUACUGUUGCUUUAAAUUCAUUAUCGUUUACUAAUUACUUUCAAUGAUUUCGGGUCAUUGUAUUCCUGCUACUGCUACUCCUGUAAUUUAUUACCUUUGUAAAUACAUAUGUAUGUAUAUGUGUGUUAUUAUUUAUGUCUACGAGAACUUGUUUAUAAACUCAGCCUCGUACUAAUUUAACUACGGUUCGACUGUUAACCGCACCACCAAAGUAACCACACCAGUAUAUAACUUUAUUAUAAAAUUAAAACAGUUUAAUUUUCAAAAUUAUCAAAUACACAUUAAACGUCGCUCUUGAUAAUAAUUUCCAUUCUAUCCAGCUUACAUAUAUACAUAUAUAUUUAUUUAUCACAGUACAAUCAACUGUGAUAUACGUCUGGACACAUACAAUUACAGUUAAUAAAUCAAAAUAUCAAGUAUUGUGAGUAUUUCAAAAGUAUUCUACCGCAAUUUUAAGUUGAAAAUUUUUGAGUUUUAACUUUAAAAAAAUUUUUUUAAUUUAUGAUAAUAAGUA